rnacentral:lncRNA from 1 species
GGAACUGUACUUCACCUGCCUUCCUAUGUACCAGUCUUGUUCCAACAACAUAUUGGCCUGGAGAUUCUGUGUGAAGUGAGUUUGUGAGACUUCAGGAAGCCUUAAAGGGAGAUGAAUGUUCUUCGCAAUUUCUUCUUCAGAUUGCUCCAGCAAUAAGUCCAGGCUUCCAAAUCCUUACUGGCAGGAGGUUGUGUGACUUACUGUGCCUUAUUGUGAGAUUGGGUACUUCCCAUGCUUUCCUACUUGGCCUGCUCUGGUGAUGAAUUCGUUUCUGCAGACUUUCCCUGGGAGUAAUUUGUACACAUACUGACUGCCCCAUAUUUUACAUCCCUCAUUCAAGGUACUGGCUCCUGUAUCACCCAGCUCUGGAGUUGAAAGAGCUCUUCAUUCCUGAGUCUCCUGUACCACUGAGAAUAGAAAUACAAAAAAAAUUCUAAAACUUGUAUGGAACUACAAAAGACAUUAAAUAAUCAAAGUAAUCUUGAGCAACAAGGACACAGCUGGAGGCAUCACUCUACCUGAUUUUGUAAUCCAUUAUCAAAAAACUGUGGUACCAGCAUAAAAACAGAUUCACUGACCAGUGGAACAGGAAAGCCCAGACAUAACUCAUACAUUUCCAUCCAAUUGAUUUUUGACAAAAGUGGCACACAGAAUGGGGAGAGGACAAAUAAAUAAAUAAAUUGUUUUGAGAUAUCUGUAUAUCUA